GACGAACCGUGCGAACGUUGUUCGGAAUCACUGGGCUUAAAGGGCGCGUAGGCGGGCGAUCAAGUCAGGGGUGAAAUCCUCCGGCUCAACCGGAGAACUGCCUUUGAUACUGGUCAUCUCGAGUGAGGUAGGGGCAUGCGGAACUGAUGGUGGAGCGGUGAAAUGUGUUGAUAUCAUCAGGAACUCCGGUGGCGAAAGCGGCGUGCCGGACCUUUACUGACGCUGAUGCGCGAAAGCCAGGGGAGCGAACGGG
rnacentral:rRNA from 1 species